rnacentral:rRNA from 1 species
AUUGAACGCUGGCGGCAGGCUUAACACAUGCAAGUCGAGCGGGGUGAUGGUGCUUGCACUAUCACUUAGCGGCGGACGGGUGAGUAAUGCUUAGGAAUCUGCCUAUUAGUGGGGGACAACAUCCCGAAAGGGAUGCUAAUACCGCAUACGUCCUACGGGAGAAAGCAGGGGAUCACUUGUGACCUUGCGCUAAUAGAUGAGCCUAAGUCGGAUUAGCUAGUUGGUGGGGUAAAGGCCUACCAAGGCGACGAUCUGUAGCGGGUCCGAGAGGAUGAUCCGCCACACUGGGACUGAGACACGGCCCAGACUCCUACGGGAGGCAGCAGUGGGGAAUAUUGGACAAUGGGGGGAACCCUGAUCCAGCCAUGCCGCGUGUGUGAAGAAGGCCUUAUGGUUGUAAAGCACUUUAAGCGAGGAGGAGGCUCUUUUGGUUAAUACCCAAGAUGAGUGGACGUUACUCGCAGAAUAAGCACCGGCUAACUCUGUGCCAGCCGCCGCAGUAAGAC